UCGACUUUUGCAUUCUGAUAUAUUUUCUUAAAAGCUUUGAAUGAAAAAAGGGCUUUUGGCGUGACUGGAGUCUUCACGGAGAAGCAAGAACAAUCACGUUUUUGCUGUGAGCUUUGCUGAAAGGAAAUUCGCGUGAAGGAUAGAGGCGGUUUUUGGUAAAGAGUCUAGUAUUAAGGCGUACCACAGGAGGAAAAAACAUGUUUUGAAAUACAUAAGGGAUGGGAGAAAAGAAACGAUUCAUGUUAAAGUUUAAGCUCUACUAUUUGUGAUAAACAGCCUACCAUUUAUUAUCAUUGCUCCACAUUUCGAAGUUUAGAGGGUUUGCUUGAGAAGGGCGCUGGAAUACAUUCUCUAACAUGAAUCUUCAUUUCACAAGUCAUGUUUAAGUUUAACCCUAACGCCUCAGUAUUAUUCCGCCUUUACAUUCAGCAUUGAGAAAUUUGAAGUGGGGUUUCUUUGUGUUUUGGGUUAAGAAUAUUAGGAAGUUAAUUUCAUUCUUCCAAAUCUGUUCUUAAUCGAUGAAGAAGGGCUUUUAUAGUUGUUAAAUGUAAUUCCUAAUACCCUGAAAAGAUGUAAUAUGUAUUUAUAUAUACAUAUUUGUAUAUAUAAAUAUAUUUACAAAUAUGUAUGUAUAAAUACAUAUAAAUCCGAGGAUAAUUAUUUUGUC